UGCCUUUUGCCCUCCGCCAUGAUUAUGAGACCUCCCUAUCCAUGUGGAACGAUGUAGGCUGACAUGGUUUGGAUCUGUGUUCCCACCCAAAUCUCAUGUUGAGUUGUAAUCCCCAGUGGUGGAGCCAUGUAAGAUGCCUGCUUUCCCUUCAUCUUCCACCAUGAGGAGAAGUUAGCUUUGGCUAUGAAUUGGAUCCUUCUAAGAUGCUUAUUUAUGAGGAAGACAAGUUCCCUUUUUAAGGAUUUGGAGAAACAAUAAACUCAGCAUCUGUGAAUAUGAAUGAACAUGCCAGACACGGUUGGAGGAAAGAACAUGUUUAGAGUCAGAAUAUCUGAGCUUCUGGUGCACUCACUUGGCUGAUUCACUCUGGGGAACUUAUUUAACCUCAAGUCUUGAUUUUCUCAUCUGUAAAAAUAACAAAACUAAUAGCACAAACUGUGGUAGAUUGAUUGUAUCAAUGACCAUAAUUAAUGGUGUUUCUAUAGCAACAUCUUUUUCUGUGUACUGUAACUCUGGGUUGGCCAUGUUAUUUGCUUUGGCAAGUGGGACAGUAGCAAAUUUGAUGCAGUCUGACACAUGAAAAAGUAUACCUGCUCAUUCCUUUCCUCCUCUGCCUUUAUCAUAAGAAAUUCCCAAACAAGGGGAGGGGCCAUGUGGAACAGAGUCAAGAUAGCCCAUGUUGUCCAGUUAAUGCCCAAGACAUGUGAGAGAGUCCUGUUAAGGUAAUCAAAACUACCUAGAUGACCUGAAACUGAUCAAAGAUGUGUGAAUAAACCCUGUUGAGCUCAGCUGAACUGUGCAGCCAAUGAUAUCAAUUUGUAACGAAAGAUAGGUGAUUACUGUUUUAUGCCAUUGAGGUUUUCUGCUAGUUUGUUAUGCAGCAGUAGCUAACUAAUAAAAUACUUCAUUGCUACUGUGGAGAUUAAGACAAUGCAUAUGAAUGAGUUUUGCAAACUGUGAGGUAAUAUACACAUGAGUUUAAAAGGUCUUAAGAUCAAUAGAUUAUUUGUUGGAGAUGAGGACAUAGAACAGUCACAAGAUGUAGAUUUCAGUUACUUCUAGGAUCCAGCUAAGUGUCCAAAUUGUUCUGUCAAUGUUUAUUUUGUUAUACUUGUUCAAAGUGAUAUAUAUUUAUUGCGUUGACCUAUCUGACUUAUCUAUUUGUUCAAGUGCCUUAGAAGUUCUUAUCACUUAUAAAUGAUUACUGAAAAAAAAAAAAGAAA
rnacentral:lncRNA from 10 species